GAACGCUAGCGGCAGGCUUAACACAUGCAAGUCGAGGGGCAGCGGGGAGGAAGCUUGCUUUCUCCGCCGGCGACCGGCGCACGGGUGAGUAACACGUAUGCAACCUGCCCCUGUCAGGGGGACAACCCGCCGAAAGGCGGGCUAAACCCGCGUACAUGCCACCGGGGCAUCCCGGAGGCAGGAAAGGCUUCGGCCGGACAGGGAUGGGCAUGCGGCGCAUUAGGCAGUAGGCGGGGUAACGGCCCACCUAACCGACGAUGCGUAGGGGUUCUGAGAGGAAGGUCCCCCACACUGGUACUGAGACACGGACCAGACUCCUACGGGAGGCAGCAGUGAGGAAUAUUGGUCAAUGGUCGGGAGACUGAACCAGCCAAGCCGCGUGAGGGAUGAAGGUACAGAGUAUCGUAAACCUCUUUUGUCAGGGAACAAAGGCGGGGACGUGUCCCCGGAUGAGUGUACCUGAAGAAAAAGCAUCGGCUAACUCCGUGCCAGCAGCCGCGGUAAUACGGAGGAUGCGAGCGUUAUCCGGAUUUAUUGGGUUUAAAGGGUGCGCAGGCGGUCUGUUAAGUCAGCGGUCAAAGCCCGGGGCUCAACCCCGGCCCGCCGUUGAAACUGGCAGUCUCGAGUUGGAGAGAAGUAUGCGGAAUGCGCGGUGUAGCGGUGAAAUGCAUAGAUAUCGCGCAGAACUCCGAUUGCGAAGGCAGCAUGCCGGCUCCACACUGACGCUGAGGCACGAAAGCGUGGGUAUCGAACAGGAUUAGAUACCCUGGUAGUCCACGCAGUAAACGAUGAAUGCUGGCUGUCCGGGGGGGAUUGACCCUGGGUGGCGAAGCGAAAGCGAUAAGCAUUCCACCUGGGGAGUACGCCGGCAACGGUGAAACUCAAAGGAAUUGACGGGGGCCCGCACAAGCGGAGGAACAUGUGGUUUAAUUCGAUGAUACGCGAGGAACCUUACCCGGGCUCAAACGGGGAGUGACUCAGGCAGAGACGCCUGUUUCCCACGGGACACUCCCCGAGGUGCUGCAUGGUUGUCGUCAGCUCGUGCCGUGAGGUGUCGGCUUAAGUGCCAUAACGAGCGCAACCCCCGCGUGCAGUUGCUAACAGAUAACGCUGAGGACUCUGCACGGACUGCCGGCGCAAGCCGCGAGGAAGGCGGGGAUGACGUCAAAUCAGCACGGCCCUUACGUCCGGGGCGACACACGUGUUACAAUGGGUGGUACAGCGGGAAGCCAGGCGGCGACGCCGAGCGGAACCCGAAAUCCACUCUCAGUUCGGAUCGGAGUCUGCAACCCGACUCCGUGAAGCUGGAUUCGCUAGUAAUCGCGCAUCAGCCAUGGCGCGGUGAAUACGUUCCCGGGCCUUGUACACACCGCCCGUCAAGCCAUGGGAGCCGAGGGCGCUUGAAGU
rnacentral:rRNA from 1 species